UGCAGUCGACGCGACUGAGGGCUUCGGCUCUCAGUUGAGUGGCAAACGGGUGAGUAACACGUGGGUGACCUACCUUCGAAUGGGGGAUAACGUCCCGAAAGGGACGCUAAUACCGCAUAACAUCCUGCCUUUGAACAGGUGGAGAUCAAAGCCGGGGAUCGUAAGACCUGGCGUUUGGAGAGGGGCCCGCGUCCGAUUAGCUA
rnacentral:rRNA from 1 species